GUGUGAGUGAUGGGGUCCCUGGGGUGAAUGAUGGGGGUAUUUGGGGUGAGAGGGGUGUCUGUGGGGUGUGUGAGAGGAGGGUCUCUGGAGUCAGUGAUGGGUGAGGGUGAGUGUUAGGAGCUCUGAGAUGUCCGCAGUAGGGCAGUGUUGCUGAAUGAUGGGGAUCUGUGGGGAAAGCAAUGUUCUGUCCCAUUUUUCUUGGCUGCAGCGUGGCCAUUUUACCAGCUGGCGUUUAUGGAUUUCUAGUCUGAUUUGGUGAACUUUUGAUCUGAGUUUUCCAUGCCAUCUCCAACUCUUCUCUUUUCUUCUCCCCUAUCUCAACAGCUCUGCCUUUUUAGGCCACUGCCCUCUCUCCACAAGUCAGACAUGACUAAGUUCCAGGGAUUGGUGUCAUUCGAGGAUGUGGCUGUAGACUUCACCCAGGAGGAGUGGAAUCAUCUGGACCAUACUCAGAGGACCCUGUACAGAGGUGUAGUGCUAGAGAACUGUAGCUACUUGGUCUCUGGGUGAGGCUGGCUUCCCUGAGUAAUUUACAGUGUACCUAACAGAAUAACUUGCCAUCUCUGAAGUAUUUCAAUACUUUGGCCUCAAGUUCCAGGGACUAAAGAUUCUUAAUUCUUCUUAGACUAACAAGGUGUUUGCAUUUCCAUCUCCCAUGUGAAAUUUAUGCUUAUUAAAGUGUACCUUCCUAAUUACUUUGAGGCCCUGAAGGCCACACACAUGUCCCCAGGUCUUGUAUCCUUUCCCAUUACAGGGUAUCCUGUUCCAAACCAGAUGCGAUUGCCUCUUUGGAGAAGAGAAGACUUUGGAUCAUAGAGAGAGAAAUCUCAAGUUCAAGCU
rnacentral:lncRNA from 1 species